rnacentral:rRNA from 1 species
UAGGGAAUCUUCCGCAAUGGACGCAAGUCUGACGGAGCAACGCCGCGUGAGUGAAGAAGGAUUUCGGUUCGUAAAACUCUGUUGUUAGAGAAGAACAGCGCAUAGAGUAACUGUUAUGCGUGUGACGGUAUCUAACCAGAAAGCCACGGCUAACUACGUGCCAGCAGCCGCGGUAAUACGUAGGUGGCAAGCGUUGUCCGGAUUUAUUGGGCGUAAAGCGAGCGCAGGCGGUCAAUUAAGUCUGAUGUGAAAGCCCCCGGCUCAACCGGGGAGGGUCAUUGGAAACUGGUUGACUUGAGUGCAGAAGAGGAGAGUGGAAUUCCAUGUGUAGCGGUGAAAUGCGUAGAUAUAAGGAGGAACACCAGUGGCGAAGGCGACUCUCUGGUCUGUAACUGACGCAGAGGCUCGAAAGCGUGGGUAGCAAACAGG